UAUGGUUCCCACAAGAAUGCAAGACAUUCUCUUCUUCUUCCUCCCAUUGAGAGAGAGAGCACAAACUUGUUCUUGCAUAUCAAGUGGAAAAUCAAUCCUCAGAUUUGUCUUGGAUAUCAAGUGAAAGCCAAAACUUCAAGACAAUCUUCAAGAAGGAUCAAGGAGCUUCCAAAGGCAAACCUUGUACAAUCUUCAAGAAGGA
rnacentral:lncRNA from 1 species